AUUCUGCAAUGAUGAAGGGGGAUGAUUGAAAAGAGCUGGACUAAAUUGGUCUAACUAGGACACUUGAAGGCUUGUGAAUCAGUUCACACGAUCAGUGUGAAAAGCGGGUAUGAAGACCCAGAUGCUGGUGUGUACGUGUGCAUAUAAGCCCCAACAGCUAGAAAUCAAGCCUUUCUGGCUUCCGAUUGUUGGAGAAGUGGAAACAGUUAAUGGAGUAUGCAAUGAGGGGAAAUAGUUUGAAUCCAAAAGGAUGUCAUUGAGUGCAAACACAGUCCUGGAACUGGGCCCGUUGGGCGUGAACCUCAGGAGCUAUUAAUCGACAUGCUUCAAUUUAUCCCUGGGUCCAGAAAGUGCUCUUCUUGGUCUGUGGGCAGAAACGGCUUCCUUCCCUUCCUUCCAGCAGCCUGCACUAUCUUCUGUGACAAUGGCCUCUGCCAGACCACAUCCAUCACUCCUAGGACAUUUGUGUCUUAACUGGAGCUGUUUAAAUUUUCAAGUACAAUAACCAAGGACUGCUGCAAGAAAUUUAAAUAUGAUAGCAAAGUUUAUACCCUCACCGUUUCUCUAGCGGUUCCCUUAGCAACAGCUCUUACUUUUUACGACUCACCUUGGCUACACACUGCCUUCGCAAUCGUUUGUCAGACUGAUUUCCAAAACAGCUCAGAUCCCUCUCAGAACUAAACAUUCAGAGCAGGAGUUGAAGUGGAAAACAUAAAACCUUUUUGAACAGAGGUUUAAAAUCUCCUUAAAAGUCAUCAUAGCUUCCCAGGUCAACGGAAAAAAAUAUAUAUGUCAAAAAAUAAGUGGGGAAAAGUAAAGAAACUACAAAAAGCUGUUGCACUGCAAUUCUAAGUAUUUGACAAAUGUAUACAGAGAUGAAGAAUAACAGCUGAAAAUGAAAAUAGUUUUAUUGGUGUAUUACGAAAGUAGGAGAUUAAAAAAUAAUAUUAUAUUCUUGUUAUAUUUGUUUUUUAUAAAAAUGUCAAAACACCUCUCAUGCACUCAUUCAACAAACAUUUAUGGUACUCUUAACUUGUGUUUACCUUUGUUUACUCCACCCUCCCCUCAUCUUUUUCUCAUCUCUCCUAUGCCUUCAGGUGUUUAAUCAGUCCUUUAAUAUUUGCACCUGUGUGUAUACUUUCCCUCCCGAUCGGGCUUUUCGAUGGCAAUGGAUUGUCUAUUUUUUUCCCCUAUAAACCUUCACUACUUCUCUCCUGUGGAUAGUAUACUUGAGUUACAUGAAACAAGUUCAAGUUUACAAGUUCAGCUAACAUACCGGAUAAAAUACAGAGAAGGAUCUUCAUGCCUUCCCCCACUAGGGUUGGUGGUCCCCAAGAGAGGAUAAACAACAUCUGAACACCAGGGCCACCGUUUUAAAAGGGAUGCUGGUAUUCAUUUAGGGUAAGAAUGGGUGUGUGAAUCAAGGUUCAAUGAGAUAAGCAGAACUACCGUGAGUGAUGUAAAAUAGGGAUUCAAGUCUUAACACUAGUAUGGGAGCUAGUGGAAAAGUCUACAUGAGGCUGUGGCUUCUGUGACUGGCAUGGGCAUGGAGUGGCUGUGGACCUGAGCCAACAGUCAAGAAGGAAAGCUGGUCGUCAGUGCAGGAGCGCAAGGACAAACCAGAGCGUAAGAGAAUAAACUGGGCCAAGCACGGUGGCUCACGCCUGUAAUCCCAGCACUUUGGGAGGCCGAAGCGGGUGGAUCACUUGAGAUCAGGAGUUCGAGACCAGCCUGGCCAACAUGGUGAAACCCCAUCUCUACUAAAAAUACAAAAAGUAGCUGGGCCUGGUGGCAUGCACCUGUAAUCCCAGCUACUCAGGAGGCUGAGGCACGAGAAUCACUUGAACCCGGGAGGCAGAGGUUGCAGUGAGCCGGAAUCGCAUCACUGCACUCCAGCAUGGGCGACAGAGCGAGACUCCUUAUCAGGAAAAAAAAAAAAAAAAAGGAGAAAGAGAGAGAAUAAACUGGAACCCAUGAGGACAAAUUGGAAUUCACGUCUGUCUUUCAUCCGCUUCAGCAUCAGUGACAAGGAAAUCUGCAUGGUAAAGCCAACACACUUUACCAUGGAGCUGUGCAUAUAUCAGGCUAGAGAUUCAGAGAAGCCAAAGGAAGAUCCGUGGUUGCUGGAGGAGCUGUGGCCUGGGUGGUCCACAAUGUGAACUCAUGACCGUCAUCAGUUUGCAUAAUCUGCCACUGCACCUGCAGUUCUACAUCCACCUUCAGUGGGUGAAAUAUGGCUGCUGCUUCACUUUCUCCUUCCAGAUCUUGUUCAAAUCUUUUUUGUGCCUAAAUGUAACCUGGAGCCACAAUGAAAGGGAUUACGAGAAAUGGAGUUUAACUAAGAUGACCCAGUACAAAGGUACACAAUAGAUGUCUCCAUUUCUCUCCCCGGAAUGAGUUUGUAGAAACAACAGCUAUAAUCAUUCUAAAUUCAAUUUAAUCCUAGGCUUGGCACCAAAUCUCAAGGUUCUGGAAUUUCCAGAAGACUUGCUUAAGGGUCUCAUUCUCAUGUCUAAAUGUAGGAAUGGAGAAGUCAACUAAAUAGGAGAUCCUUACAGAAACAAGAAGAAAUGAAGGAUUGGAGUUGGGAACUAUUUGAAAUUAUACUAAUGAUCAUGUCUUCUAUUGAAUUAAAAGCAACUACCAGUAAUGUACUAAGGAGUUUUCCAAAUUCCUAAUCCUCUCUGUUGCCCUCCAAAAAAAAGGAGAGAGACAGAGAGAAAGAUAAAAGUAGCAAGCUGCUCUUUGCAUGAAGAAGUCAUUCAUGUAUUCAUCGACAAGAAGCAGCAGCCAAGCAUUUACAGAGUACCUAUCCAGCUACUCGGGCAGGCUGGGCACUGUGCUAAUAUAGCGUCCUACAUGGGGACUGUCUUACAGAAGAUUGGAAAAAGGAUAAGAAUCCAUUUUUAGCAUAUUUGAACAGAAAGUUGCUAUGCAACAGCCUCACACCUAAGCAAAAUGCUGGCUGCUGGCCUUCAGCCUGGGCAUGGCCCAGGGCAGGUGGAGGCAACUGACACCAAGGACAUUCUCUCAGAGACAAGACAGCCCCUGGAAGCCCCACUAGCAGAUCUACCUGGGAUCCUUAGAUUAAAAAUUAUGUGCAAAUAGCUAUCAAAAUGUCAGAGAACACUCAACUAAAAGCAUGAUCAUGAUCGUCAUCAUCAUCAUCAUCGUCAUGACUCCUGCUACCCACACAAUCUGCAAAUAGCAAGACUUUUGUCCUUCUACACAGACGUGGAGUCCAGCCAAAUACCUCUGUGGCCUGAGGCAUCUGCAGAUCUGGACCCAGUCAACAGAGGUUGAGUGAUUGGAUGUGGGCCAGAAAAUUCCUUACUUUUAUUUCUUCCACUUGGUGGAAUAAGAACACAGUGUUGUCUUGGUAAAACCCGCUCCUGUGCUUCUUCCCUUUGCAAAAGGCAGGCUGGACAUCAUUACUUUGAAAACAUGACAUUUUUUGCAUUGGUGAGUUGGGUUGGGUUUUGUUUUGCUGUUGUUGUUUCCUGUAUAAUGAUUAUUCACAUACACCUGACUAAUCACUUGUCACAUUAAAAGUCAAAGGCCUCCCAUCAGGAAUUUAGAGGAUUUAUUUUCCCCACCAUGGAGUUCUCAUCAGGACUGACCUGUUAGAACCAGUUUGAUGGCCACAGCUGCUUGCAUCCCCAUGACUGCCGCACAGUCCCUUUAAUCACUUCUCAGAGUCCAGGGAGGUCCCUGGGAAGGCUGAUUCCACUGCGGGAUAUUUAUCUGAAGUAAAUUCAGAAAAUGGUGUCAUCUCUUGCCAUGUGGAUGCAGAAUAUCAUAAUAAUAUCAUUCCUAUUCGUUCCAGUAAGGUUCAUUUGACUGUAUCUGCUUUUAUUUUAAAAUAGAAAUCUUGCCCUGCUGUGGAUCACACAUUUUCCCACCCAAGUUAAUUGGUAAUGCCAAAAAUGUACCUUAUAAUGGAUUUUUACUAGGCAUUAAAAAUAUAUAAUUGGCCAGGCACAGUGGCUCACUCCUGUAAUCUCAGCACUUUGGAAGGCAGAGGCGGGAGGAUCGUUUGAGCCAGGGAGUUCGAGACCAGCAUGGGCAACAUGAGACCCUGUCUCUAUUUUAUAAAUAAAAAAUAAUAACAAAAUUUUAAAAUACAUAAUCAAGUAAGAGCAGCUAUAUUGAAACAUUCAUAUAAACUCUAGUCAAUACAUUUGGUUUCUCAGCUAUUCCUCCACAGUGAAAUAUUUGGUAUUAAAUAAGUGUAUGUUAAGUGGUAAUAAAUCUUCAACUUCAGUCAUUUCAAUAUUUUGCUAACCUCCAAGCAAUUGACUUUUAAAUUCAUCUAAUUUUUAUUAUUAUGAUAAUACAUAAAAUCAUGUUCAUCAAUACAAAAUAGAUCCAUUUAGCUCAUCAGUAUUUUAUAUAUUCAUAAAUUUUAUAAAAUAUGAGGAAAUUUUCAUGGUA
ensembl:lncRNA LINC01625 long intergenic non-protein coding RNA 1625